GAUCACAAUGUCUUCAAAAGGCCUUGCAACUUCUACUUCUUCAGAAUCAGAGCCAAUAAAUUUGGAGCUUACAUUUGGCUCCGGGAGGGCAUUGCCCUCUAAACCUCCGUCGUCUAUAUUUUCACGUGGAGAUCACUCGCAAAGCAAUAAAAAUAAAGAAGCUCCAAUUGGUGAUAAUCAC